GACGAACGCUGGCGGCGUGCUUAACACAUGCAAGUCGAACGGAAAGGCCCUGCUUUUGUGGGGUGCUCGAGUGGCGAACGGGUGAGUAACACGUGAGUAACCUGCCCUUGACUUUGGGAUAACUUCAGGAAACUGGGGCUAAUACCGGAUAGUAGCUCCUGCUGCAUGGUGGGGGGUGGAAAGUUUCGGCGGUUGGGGAUGGACUCGCGGCUUAUCAGCUUGUUGGUGGGGUAGUGGCUUACCAAGGCUUUGACGGGUAGCCGGCCUGAGAGGGUGACCGGCCACAUUGGGACUGAGAUACGGCCCAGACUCCUACGGGAGGCAGCAGUGGGGAAUAUUGCACAAUGGGCGGAAGCCUGAUGCAGCAACGCCGCGUGCGGGAUGACGGCCUUCGGGUUGUAAACCGCUUUCGCCUGUGACGAAGCGUGAGUGACGGUAAUGGGUAAAGAAGCACCGGCUAACUACGUG
rnacentral:rRNA from 1 species